GACGAACGCUGGCGGCGUGCCUAAUACAUGCAAGUAGAACGCUGAAGGAAGGAGCUUGCUCUUUCUGGAUGAGUUGCGAACGGGUGAGUAACGCGUAGGUAACCUGCCUGGUAGCGGGGGAUAACUAUUGGAAACGAUAGCUAAUACCGCAUAAAAUUGAUUAUUGCAUGAUAGUCAAUUAAAAGGUGCAACUGCACCACUACCAGAUGGACCUGCGUUGUAUUAGCUAGUUGGUGGGGUAACGGCUCACCAAGGCGACGAUACAUAGCCGACCUGAGAGGGUGAUCGGCCACACUGGGACUGAGACACGGCCCAGACUCCUACGGGAGGCAGCAGUAGGGAAUCUUCGGCAAUGGACGGAAGUCUGACCGAGCAACGCCGCGUGAGUGAAGAAGGUUGUCGGAUCGUAAAGCUCUGUUGUAAGAGAAGAACGAGUGUGAGAGUGGAAAGUUCACACUGUGACGGUAGCUUACCAGAAAGGGACGGCUAACUACGUG
rnacentral:rRNA from 1 species